rnacentral:misc_RNA from 1 species
UGCCGCACAGACUAUGUUCGGUUGCAGUUGCCUGUGUGCAAGUAUACGGCUGGCGUCAUAUCUUUCCCCUUGUGCUCUACACCACGUACAAACCCCCGCAUACCCGCCUUCCUCCCUUCCUUUCCUCACAGAGAAUCUCUCUCUUUAUCGAUCAUGAAGCACGUCAAGGCGAGCAACCGGAGAUAAUUGUGCAAGGAUGGCAUCCCCAUCUGCCUUUCCAUUCGCUUAGCCCUCUCUGACUCCAUGCUGCUUGUUCCCACAGCAGCGUGGAGGGAGGAGGAGGGGGGGGCACCGGUCACAGUCGGACACCCAUCCGGCAUUGCCUUGUUCCUGUCACCCCCUAAGUAUGUGUCUCUUUAUGGGUGUGGAUGCGCGCUUGCGUCUGCUACCACAGCACGGGCUGAGUGAGCAACAUUUCUGCAGAGGCGAGCGACGGCGGUGCCCCCAUCCCUCCUCCUCCUCCUCCUCCCAUUCUGCGCUCUCGCUCUGCCAGACAGGAGCAAGUCGUCUCGAUGCUCUUCUCCGCCUCCACGGCAGCUGUAUGCGGCACUCCUCCACGUCUUUUCCGCCGCAUUGCACUUUUCGCUUCCUCUUCGUUUUUUUUUGUGUUUGUCCUUCGCAAUCCGUCAAUGCAUUGGAUCAUCUCUCUCUCUCUGUGCGUGUGCGUGCGCCAUCCGCAG